rnacentral:sRNA from 1 species
AACCCCCAGCUAAGCUGGGGGUUUCGGAAGGUUUUUCAGCUUUGAGUCAGUUAUUAAAAUCCUUAUUGGGUUGUGGGGCUCGCGCCUAAAA